rnacentral:rRNA from 1 species
CCUACGGGUGGCAGCAGUGAGGAAUAUUGGUCAAUGGCCGUAAGGCUGAACCAGCCAAGUCGCGGGAAGGAAGAAGGAUCUAUGGUUUGUACACUUCUGUUAUGGGGGAAUAAAGGUAUCCACGUGUGGAUAUUGGCAUGUACCCUAUGAAUAAGAAUCGGCUAACUCCGUGCCCCCAGCCGCGGUAAUACGGAGGAUGCGAGAGUUAUACGGAUUUAUUGGGUUUAAAGGGUGCGUAGGUUGUUUUUUAAGUCAGCGGUGAAAGUUUGUGGCUCACACAGAAAAUUGACGAUGAAACUGGAAGACUUGAGUGUGUUUGAGGGAGGCGGAAUGCGUGGUGUAGCAGUGAAAUGCAUAGAUAUCACGCAGAAC